GAGCUUGUCCAUUAUUUUAAUAACUGUUAACUCUUCAGGGUGCAGAGGCCAAGGGAACAAGUGUUACUCGUUCCGCAGAUAAUAUAAGCAUUUGACGUGAGCUCCCCCACCUGGCUCCAGGAAAACAAGGAUGAUGCAGAUUCAAUAGCACCCAAGGGUAAAUAGGUUUUGAAAACACCUUCUACCUGCUCUCAGAGCAAUAAAUACCUCAAUCCUGCCUUCCCCAGGUGGGA
rnacentral:lncRNA from 1 species